UACGUAGGGUGCGAGCGUUGUCCGGAAUUAUUGGGCGUAAAGAGCUCGUAGGCGGUCUGUCGCGUCGGUCGUGAAAACCUGCAGCUUAACUGUGGGCGUGCGGUCGAUACGGGCAUGACUGGAGUUCGGCAGGGGAGACUGGAAGUUCCUGGUGUAGCGGUGAAAUGCGCAGAUAUCAGGAGGAACACCGGUGGCGAAGGCGGGUCUCUGGGCCGAUACUGACGCUGAGGAGCGAAAGCGUGGGGAGCGAACAGG
rnacentral:rRNA from 1 species